UACGAAGGGGGCUAGCGUUGUUCGGAAUCACUGGGCGUAAAGGGCGCGUAGGCGGCUUUAUAAGUCGGGGGUGAAAGCCUGUGGCUCAACCACAGAAUUGCCUUCGAUACUGUAGAGCUUGAGACCGGAAGAGGUAAGUGGAACUGCGAGUGUAGAGGUGAAAUUCGUAGAUAUUCGCAAGAACACCAGUGGCGAAGGCGGCU
rnacentral:rRNA from 1 species